GUCCACGCUGUAAACGAUGGGCACUAGGUGUCGCGGGUAUUGACCCCUGCGGUGCCGCAGCUAACGCAUUAAGUGCCCCGCCUGGGGACUACGGCCGCAAGGUUAAACUCAAAGGAAUUGACGGGGCCCGCACAAGCGGUGGAGCAUGUGGUUCAAUUCGACGCAACGCGAAGAACCUUACCCGGGCUAGACAACAGAGGACAGCCUUAGAAAUAUGGCCUUCCUUCGGGGACCUCUGGUUCAGGUGCUGCAUGGCUGUCGU
rnacentral:rRNA from 1 species